UACAGAGGUCUCAAGCGUUGUUCGGAUUCAUUGGGCGUAAAGGGUGCGUAGGCGGCGCGGUAAGUCGGGUGUGAAAUCUCGGAGCUUAACUCCGAAACUGCAUUCGAUACUGCCGUGCUUGAGGACUGGAGAGGAGACUGGAAUUUACGGUGUAGCGGUGAAAUGCGUAGAGAUCGGAAGGAACACCAGUGGCGAAGGCGGCUACCUGGACAAAUACUGACGCUGAGGCGCGAAAGCGUGGGGAGCAAACAGG
rnacentral:rRNA from 1 species